rnacentral:rRNA from 1 species
GACGAACGCUGGCGGCGUGCUUAACACAUGCAAGUCGAACGGAAAGGCCCUGCUUUUGUGGGGUGCUCGAGUGGCGAACGGGUGAGUAACACGUGAGUAACCUGCCCUUGACUUUGGGAUAACUUCAGGAAACUGGGGCUAAUACCGGAUAGGAGCUCCUGCUGCAUGGUGGGGGUUGGAAAGUUUCGGCGGUUGGGGAUGGACUCGCGGCUUAUCAGCUUGUUGGUGGGGUAGUUGCUUACCAAGGAUUUGACGGGUAGCCGGCCUGAGAGGGUGACCGGCCACAUUGGGACUGAGAGACGGCCCAGACGACAACGGGAGGCAGCAGUGGGGAAUAUUGCACAAUGGGAGGAAGCCUGAUGCAGCAACGCCGCGUGCGGGAUGACGGCCUUCGGGUUGUAAACCGCUUUCGCCUGUGACGAAGCGGGAGUGACGGUAAUGGGUAAAGAAGCACCGGCUAACUACGUG